rnacentral:lncRNA from 1 species
AGCUGUCCAACCAUAAACUGUAUUGUUGAAAUCGAACAGGAUCUCAUUUCAAAUGUAUAUACAUAUAGAAAAAGGUAUACAGGAAAUCAGAUAUAAGCUUUAAAGUAACCUCCAGAAAUUAGCAGUAGGUGCAUGAAAGACUGACCAAUUCAAAACAAAGAAUUCACAUAAUGGUUCAGAAAGUGACUUCAAAAUUGAUCCUAUAUUCAUCAUUUGUUAUCUCCAAUGCAUUGAGGUAAAAAUUGAUCCUAUAUUUGAUCUUUUGCUAUCUCCAAGGCAUUGAGGUCAUUUCAAUCAUCACAUAAGACUUGUGCUGACU